UCNNCUUAGAGUUUGAUCCUGGCUCAGAUUGAACGCUGGCGGCAUGCCUUACACAUGCAAGUCGAACGGCAGCACGGGGGCAACCCUGGUGGCGAGUGGCGAACGGGUGAGUAACAUAUCGGAACGUGCCCUGGAGUGGGGGAUAACUAGUCGAAAGAUUAGCUAAUACCGCAUACGAUCUACGGAUGAAAGUGGGGGAUCGCAAGACCUCAUGCUCGUGGAGCGGCCGAUAUCUGAUUAGCUAGUUGGUGGGGUAAAGGCCUACCAAGGCAUCGAUCAGUAGCUGGUCUGAGAGGACGACCAGCCACACUGGGACUGAGACACGGCCCAGACUCCUACGGGAGGCAGCAGUGGGGAAUUUUGGACAAUGGGCGCAAGCCUGAUCCAGCAAUGCCGCGUGAGUGAAGAAGGCCUUCGGGUUGUAAAGCUCUUUUGUCAGGGAAGAAACGGUGGAGGUUAAUACCUUCUGCUAAUGACGGUACCUGAAGAAUAAGCACCGGCUAACUACGUGCCAGCAGCCGCGGUAAUACGUAGGGUGCAAGCGUUAAUCGGAAUUACUGGGCGUAAAGCGUGCGCAGGCGGUUGUGCAAGACAGAUGU
rnacentral:rRNA from 1 species